rnacentral:rRNA from 1 species
CAGAGUUGAUCCUGGCUCAGGAUGAACGCUAGCUACAGGCUUAACACAUGCAAGUCGAGGGGCAGCAUGUUGGUUGCUUGCAACCAACGAUGGCGACCGGCGCACGGGUGAGUAACGCGUAUCCAACCUACCCUUGUCCAUCGGAUAACCCGUCGAAAGGCGGCCUAACACGAUAUGCGGUUCACGGCAGGCAUCUAAGGUGAACGAAAUGUGAAGGAGAAGGAUGGGGAUGCGUCUGAUUAGCUUGUUGGCGGGGUAACGGCCACCAAGGCUACGGUCAGUAGGGGUUCUGAGAGGAAGGUCCCCCACAUUGGAACUGAGACACGGUCCAAACUCCUACGGGAGGCA